AGCACACACAAUCCUUAGGAUAGCAGCCUUCUAAAGCUCCAAAAGGAAAGAAGUGCUUUGAAAACAAACAAGACCCGGGGUUUAUCUUUUGUGGAAGACAGUGCGAUAGAUGGGCUAUCACAUAUCUGGAAGUCUUUAUCAAUUUGCAGAACAAUUCAGCUCUCCAGUCACUCUGAAAGCCAUGUGUGCAGGAAAGCUCUGGGACAUCCAAGAGAGAAUAAUUAAUUCCCUUCUUAUGUGGUGUAAGUUCACCGGAGACUAGAUUACACUCUGUCAAGAGUGUAUACAUCACAGAACCCAGAUGCGGGAGCUCAUAAUGUCCUCAUCCUGACAAUUUGAAAGAAGUUUUUUUUUUGUCUCAGUGGCUGCCAUAUGCUUUAAACCAAAGAUCCCCCUUCAUUCCUGUGAUUUGUUUAAUAAUCUGAGUGUGUGGCUGCUGCUGCUGAUGGUGGUAAAAGCCUUCAAGCUCAAUAUAAACAAGGAUGAAAUAAUGAAAAUCUAUUUUGCUUGAA